UACGGAGGGUGCAAGCGUUAAUCGGAAUUACUGGGCGUAAAGCGCACGCAGGUGGCUGAGCUAGUCGAUUGUGAAAGCCCUGGGCUUAACCUGGGAAUUGCAUUCGAUACUACUCGGCUAGAGUAUGAGAGAGGGCAGUGGAAUUCCCGGUGUAGCGGUGAAAUGCGUAGAUAUCGAGAGGAACACCUGCGGCGAAGGCGGGUUGCUGGGCUGACACUGACGCUGAGGCGCGAAAGCUAGGGGAGCGAACGGG
rnacentral:rRNA from 1 species